rnacentral:rRNA from 1 species
AGCAGUAGCCACGGUAAUACGGAGGGGGCUAGCGUUAUUCGGAAUUACUGGGCGUAAAGCGCACGUAGGCGGAUCAGAAAGUCAGAGGUGAAAUCCCAGGGCUCAACCUUGGAACUGCCUUUGAAACUCCUGAUCUUGAGGUCGAGAGAGGUGAGUGGAAUUCCGAGUGUAGAGGUGAAAUUCGUAGAUAUUCGGAGGAACACCAGUGGCGAAGGCGGCUCACUGGCUCGAUACUGACGCUGAGGUGCGAAAGCGUGGGGAGCAAACAGGAUUAGAUACCCCGGUAGUCCCUGUCUCUUAUAC